rnacentral:rRNA from 1 species
AGGUCACUGCUAUUGGGGUUCGGCUAAGCCAUGCGAGCGGAGGGCGCGGUCGAAAGAUCGUGGCCCCGCACACGGCUCAGUAACACGUAGUCAACCUACCCUUGGGACGGGGACAACCUCGGGAAACUGAGGCUAAUUCCCGAUAGGCGAGGGACGCUGGGAUGCCUCCUCGCCCAAAGCUCCGGCGCCCGAGGAUGGGACUGCGGCCUAUCAGGCUGUUGGUGGUGUGACGGACCACCAAACCUACGACGGGUACGGGCGAUGGGAGUCGGAGCCCGGAGAUGGGGACUGAGACAAGGCCCCAGGCCCUACGGGGCGCAGCAGGCGCGAAAACUCCGCAAUGCGCGCAAGCGUGACGGGGGGAUCCCAAGUGCCGUUGGUCUUUUGAUCGACGGCUUUUCGGAAGUCUAAGAAGCUUCCAGAAUAAGGGCUGGGCAAGACUGGUGCCAGCCGCCGCGGUAACACCAGCAGCCCAAGUGGUGACCACGAUUAUUGGGCCUAAAGCGCUCGUAGCCGGGUCAGCAAGUCCCUUGUGAAAUCGGGCCGCCUAACGGUUCGGCGUGCAAGGGGUACUGUUGGUCUUGAGGCCGGGAGAGGUCGGAGGUACUCCUGGGGUAGCGGUGAAAUGCUCUAAUCCUGGGGGGACCACCAGUGGCGAAGGCGUCCGACCAGAACGGACCUGACGGUGAGGGGCGAAGGCUAGGGGAGCGAACGGGAUUAGAUACCCCGGUAGUCCUAGCUGUAAAGCAUGCGGGCCAGGUGUCUAGUGCUCCUCGAGGGCACUAGGUGCCGGAGGGAAGCCGUUAAGCCCGCCGCCUGGGAAGUACGGCCGCAAGGCUGAAACUUAAAGAAAUUGGCGGGGGAGCACCACAAGGGGUGGGACCUGCGGUUCAAUUGGAUUCAACGCCGGACAACUCACCAGGGGCGACAGUUGUUUGAAGGCCAGGUUGACGACCUUGCCCGACUAGCUGAGAGGUGGUGCAUGGCCAUCGUCAGCUCGUACCGUGAGGCGUCCUGUCAAGUCAGGCAACGAGCGAGAUCCUCGCCCUUAGUUGCCAUCAGUGGGAAGCUGGGCACUCUAAGGGGACCGCUGGCGCUAAGCCAGAGGAAGGAG